CUUGUACAAAAAAAGAAAAAGAAAUUAAAGAACAAGUGAAAAGACCAUUCUCUUCCUGUCCUGGCUUUCACUUCCCUGCACUUUAUCUGUCUCCUGAUAACUCACCGAAUCUUAUAUUGCUCCUGAGUCUUCAUCCUGUUAUUUGUUGGGAUCCUAGCAGCUGAAGGAUCUGCCAUUUCCUGGUACUCCUUUUUCAGAAGCUGUGGAAAUCCCAGGAUAAAACAUGACAAUUGCUUCCUCCCACAAGCAGGGAAGUGUGACCCCACUCUACCAUCUGAGGUUCAUUUGCCAAGAGACCUCAUCCUGGGCACUGAUGCCUUUGGAAACCCAGACAUCAGCAUGGAGGUCAGAGUCUGAUUCUGGGACUGCAGUUCUGCCUCCAGGGAGCCCACUCAGAUAACUAGCAUAGAGAGUUCUCUCCCCCAGCACCUGCUGGCCAACCCAGACUCCCAUGUCUUGGGCUGAUGUGGCUCCGAGAGCUCUCAAAGGUCCCUCUUUAACCCUGCUGACUGGGCACUUUUAAGGAAAAUCAUUUCUCCCAAUAAGUACUACACAAUCUAGAUGAUUACCUUUUCCCCGUGAAUGCAGCAUUUUUUGAGUACCGACGAGAUAUGAUCUGUCCAGACUGUGAAGUGGAUCCCUGUUGGUUUAUAAAAUCUCUCCUAGGACUCAUAGCUGCCCCAGUUUUAAGAAUUUUCAGGUAUAAUGAACUAGACCAAACCAGAGUCCUAUUGGACAGUGUCUCCAAGCUCAGGAACCCGAGAGAGUCUAUGAAAAGAAGGGAAAAUAGUUAACAGGUUCCUCUCUCAAAAUGUGGAGAACACUCCAUGAUAUCGGUAGGUGAAUGGUUCUGAGACUCCUGUGGUUAUAGAAGUUUUUGUUUAAUCCAGUGUUUCCCCAGAGUAUCCAAAAUCUAUUACAACAUCCAUGGCACCCUUUGGGAAAUGCUGCUGGAGGAUCCCACCCCAAAGGUGUCAGGGGUCCUCUCCUGGGGGAGCUGGCUUCUGGGGAGCUGGUGUGGGACUAAGGUUG
rnacentral:lncRNA from 1 species